rnacentral:rRNA from 1 species
GACAGAGGGUGCAACGUUGUUCGGAUUUACUGGGCGUAAAGCGCGUGUAGGCGGCUUUGCAAGUCGGAUGUGAAAGCCCACGGCUCAACCGUGGAAGUGCAUCCGAAACUGCAUGGCUGGAGUCUCGGAGAGGAAGGUGGAAUGCUUGGUGUAGAGGUGAAAUUCGUAGAUAUCAAGCAGAACACCUGCGGCGAAGGCGGCCUUCUGGACGAUGACUGACGCUGAGACGCGAAAGCGUGGGGAGCAAACAGG